rnacentral:rRNA from 1 species
UAAUACGGAGGGUGCAAGCGUUAUCCGGAUUUACUGGGUUUAAAGGGUGCGUAGGCGGCUCUUUAAGUCAGUGGUGAAAGCCUAGUGCUUAACACUAGAAAUGCCAUUGAAACUGCAGAGCUUGAAUCAAGGAGAGGUAAGCAGAAUUUAUAGUGUAGCAGUGAAAUGCUUAGAUACUAUAAGGAAUACCAACAGCGAAGGCAGCUUACUGGCCUUGUAUUGACGCUGAGGCACGAAAGCGUGGGGAGCAAACAGGAUUAGAGACCCUGGUAGUCCACGCUGUAAACGAUGAUCACUCGAUGUACACACUUGCUGUGUGUGUCUGAGCGAAAGUAUUAAGUGAUCCACCUGGGAAGUACGCCCGCAAGAGUG